CCUUUACUGUUGCUAAUGUGCAACUCUGUUAUGUAUAAUCUGGAAUUGCACUUUAGCAAUGGUGAUGG
rnacentral:pre_miRNA from 11 species